rnacentral:rRNA from 1 species
AACGUAGGAGACAAACGUUAUCCGGAGUUACUGGGCGUAAAGGGCGUGUAGGUGGUUUCGUAAGUCUGGCGUGAAAUUUUUCGGCUUAACCGGGAAAGGUCGUCGGAUACUGCAGAACUAGAGGACGGUAGAGGCGUGUGGAAUUCCGGGUGUAGUGGUGAAAUGCGUAGAGAUCCGGAGGAACACCAGUGGCGAAGGCGGCAUCCUGGACCAACACUGACGCUGAGUGAGCGAAAGCCAGGGGAGCAAACGGG